rnacentral:rRNA from 1 species
GAUGAACGCUAGCUACAGGCUUAACACAUGCAAGUCGAGGGGUAACAAGAGAAAAGCUUGCUUUUCUUGUUGACGACCGGCGCACGGGUGAGUAACGCGUAUCCAACCUGCCUAUAACUAGGGAAUAACCUUGCGAAAGUAAGACUAAUACCCUAUGAUUUCCUUUGAUGACAUCAGAUUAGGAAUAAAGAUUUAUCGGUUAUAGAUGGGGAUGCGUCUGAUUAGCUUGUUGGCGGGGUAACGGCCCACCAAGGCAACGAUCAGUAGGGGUGCUGAGAGGAAGGUCCCCGACAUUGGAACUGGGACACGGACCAAACUCCUACGGGAGGCAGCAGUGAGGAAUAUUGGUCAAUGGGCGGAAGCCUGAACCAGCCAAGUAGCGUGCAGGAUGACGGCCCUAUGGGUUGUAAACUGCUUUUAUACAGGAAUAAAGUUAGCCACGUGUGGUUAUUUGUAGGUACUGUAUGAAUAAGGACCGGCUAAUUCCGUGCCAGCCGCCGCCGUAA